rnacentral:rRNA from 1 species
AGCGAACGCUGGCGGCAGGCCUAACACAUGCAAGUCGAACGAACUCUUCGGAGUUAGUGGCGGACGGGUGAGUAACACGUGGGAACGUGCCUUUUGGUCUGGAAUAACUCAGGGAAACUUGUGCUAAUACCGACUGUGCUCUUCGGGGGAAAGAUUUAUCGCGAUUAGAGCGGCCUGCGUCCGAUUAGCUAGUUGGUGAGGUAACGGCGCACCAAGGGGACGAUCAGUAGCGGGUCAGAGAGGAUGACCAGCCACACUGGGACUGGGACACGGCCCAGACUCCUACGGGAGGCAGCAGUGGGGAAUCUUGCGCAAUGGGCGAAAGCCUGACGCAGCCAGGCCGCGUGAAUAAUGAAGGUCGUAGGAUUGUAAAAUUCUUUCACCGGGGACGAUAAUGACGGUACCCGGAGAAGAAGCCCCGGCUAACUUCGUG